UAGGAGUGAAAAUAGGGCUGGGUGGUCUGGGAAAUAAUAGCAGAGAGACAAUUAAUGGGAGGUGUUUUUUUAAUUAUUAAAGCUUUUUAUCUUCAAAACAUGUGCAUGAAUAAUUUUUCAACAUUGACUCUUGCAAAAUUUUGUGUUCCAAAUUUUCCUCCUUUCCCCACCCAUCUAAUAUAUAUAUUAAACAUGUUAAAAAUAUGUGUUAAAUCCAAUAUAUGUAUGCAUAGUUAUACAAUUAUCUUGCUGAACAAGAAAGAUCAGAUUAAAAAGAAAAAAAUGAGAAAGAAAAUAAAAUGCACACAAACAACAAAAAGAGUAACAAUGCUAUGUUGUAUACUACACUCAGUUUGCACAGUCCUCUCUCUGGGUGUAGAUGGCUCUCUUCAUCACAAGAUUUAAUGGGAGUUUUUGGAUGAAAAUCCAGCAAAGAAGUCAGAACAUAAGCAGUAAAGCAGGUAACAAGAAAAACAGAAGGAAACAGUAUCCUAUAAACUUAGGGAGGAGAAAGUCUUCAGAAAAGGACAGUGACCAGCAGUGUCAGAGGAAACAGAAGAGUCAAGGAGGAGGAUAGAGAAAAUGUCAUUAGAUGUGGCAAAAAAGAGAUCAGUGGUAACUGGAGAGGGCAGUUUCAUUUAAGGGAUGAGGUCAGAAGCCAGACUGCAUUGAGUGAGAGGAAAAGAAGUAGAGGCAUCUAGCAUAGAUGGCUCUCAUAAAACAAAAAGGGAAAAGGUACAUAGGACAACUAUAUAGAACAAUAAUCAGCAAGGAUUAUUAGAGAAUCGAAUGAGAGACUAUUGGAGCUUGAAGUUUUAAGUUAGUAUUUUGAGAAAGACAAAUAAACAGGUUCAGGAAUACCCCCUCAGUCUGUUUACAGGAAAAUUGGGCUGUAUACAUUCCGGGGAUGGGGUGGGGAUGAUGGGGAUCUCUCCCUGUACAGUAAAGUUUGAUUCUUGAAAAGAUAUAUGUCUCCAUGAGAACCCUUUCAUAAUCAAAUCGAUUAUUUAGAAAGGAUGUAACAAAUCAAACACUCAAGGGAUUGAAUAGUGAAGAUAAUAACAAAUAGGGGUCUUGUGAAAAACAGGUGUUUUUUUUUUUUUUUUUACAAAGCUGGGAAGGAAUAAAAAGAAUAACAAACAUAUGUACAAGGUGGAAAGUUGAGGCAAAAAGAAAGAGAAGAAAAAGAGAAAAAAUAUCCAGACAUCUCUGCUUUCACACAAGAAAACGCAGCACCAUUAAUUGUGAUGCAAUGACUGUAUAGGAGCAGAAAGGGUCUCUACGCUGCUUGUAGCUUUAUCAUCUUGGCUCACUUGGGUGUUUGCACACCUGAACAAACAAGUGGGGUGAUCUGGUAAUAAAGAGGGCUGCCACAUGCUGCUGUGUGUCAGCACCCGAUCUGUGUGUAGCUUUUUAUCUCCAGGGAAGGAGGCUACACUGUGAUGUGGCAGUUGGAGAGCCCGUAAUCUUGGGCUACACUGACAGAUGCUGAGUACCCAAAAUAAAGAGAGUCCCACUCUGAUCACACCCUGUGAAACCUCAUCUGGAGCACUCAUUCUGUUGAUUUCUGAGUUUCAACAAGGACACUGAAAAAACUGUAUUAAGUCCAGAAGAGACAGCCACCAUGAUGAGGUGACAUGAUGCAUUAUAAGAAUUAAUUGGAGGAAUCUGGGAUGUUUAGCCCAGAAAAAGGGAGUCUGAGAUGAUGGUCUCAAAUAUUUGAAGAGCUGUCCAUGGAGAAGGAUUAGGCCUGUCUUACUUGACUCCAGAGGACAGAACUAGGAACAACAGGCACAACUGUAAAAGAUGAAGAGCUCGUGCCAUGAGAAAUGAAGUGACCAGUCAAAGGUCAGACAAACCAAGUGACAGACAGGGAGAAGAGUGGGAGAGAAAGCUAUAUACUUAAUUUGGCAGGAGAAAUUUGAGAGAAAUUGAGGAAAAAAUGAUAGAAAAUCUCUAGCUUCAGACUUUUAACUUUUGGCUUCUUAGUGAAAAGUAUUGAGGAGAAAGAGAAGAAUCAGUGAUUGAAUUUAGAGGAAAACAAAUACGAGAAAAUUUAAAGAUAGAAUAAAAGAAAAGAUGAGCUGAAUGAGGAUAAAGAAGCAAAUUUGAAGAAGGAUUCAAUUUGUGGGUACAAAAGAAAUUUGAAGCAAGGACCCAGAGAAAUGAAUUCAAAGAGAGAGAAAAGAAGAAAAUAGUAGGAAAGAAAGGUAAGAAAAAGUGUCACAAACUAAAAAGUUUUUUUUAAACAGUUAGCAAACUGAUAAGGAAAUAAAUUGGGGUUUUUUUGAAAGAAGAGAAAUGAAAAUGAAAAAUAAUGUGGCUUUUUGAGAAAAAGGAAAAGAAGUCAGGUGUAGUUGUCAAGAUUCUAAAAGAUAAAAAAGAAUUGUAAAAAUCUUCACAACUGCUUAGGAGAUAAGUUUAAAGAAUCACAAGACAUUCAAAAAGCAUGCCUGAUCUCAGUAGCUAUGGAAAACAUUAAAAUCCUACAUUAACAUCAUUAAGUAUGCUAUGUCUGUAUUUCUGCCAGAGUCAAAUGAUUGCUGCUAUGUCCCAAAUAGAGGCUGUUUGCUUUCUUAGAAUAGAAGCUGAAGGGAAUCAAAGAAUACUUCUGUAUGUUCAAAGUUCUCAAAGGGGGAAAAAAUAGAAGAGGGAUAUAGAUUUGUUUAAUAGCUUUUUUAUUUACAAAAUAUAUGCAUGGGUAAUUUUACAGCAUUGACAACUGCAAAACCUUUUGUUCCAACUUUUUCCCUCCUUCCCCCCCACCUUCUCCCCCAGAUGGCAGGUUGACCAAUACAUGUUAAAUAUGUUAAAGUAUGAAUUAAAUACAAUAUACGUAUACAUGUCCACACAGUUAUUUUGCUGUA